CAAAUCAAAAGUUCUUUUUAGAUGUUUACUUUGAGAUGCCUAUUGGGUAGACAAGUGGCCAUGUCAAGAAGACAGUAGAUAUGGAAGUUUUGAGUUUAAGGAAAAGAUGAAAACUAGAGAUAUAAACUUGAGAGUUAUCAAAAUAUUGAUGACAAUUAAAGCCUCCAUAUUGGAUAAGAUUGCAGAGGGAGAACAUGCAGCUACAGAAGAGAGAAAGAUCUGAGACAAUUGAACUCGGUUGGAGGACGAGGGCCAGCAAAGAAGUCUGAACAAGAGCAUCUAGUGAUGUAGGAGGAGAAUCAAAAAGAGUAAUGUUUUAGGACCCAUGAGAGGAGAGAAUUUCAAGAUAAAGGAAGUAGUCUAGCAGAAUAUGGGAAGCUUGAAUAAGAAGACAGAGAAAUGUUCGUUGUUCUCUUCUUCAGUCCAUCCUGGGGCUACUUCUCAAGGUCUCAUUUUGUAUUCUAAGGCAGUGACAAUAGCCCCAACAGGGCUAGCACGUUGCAACACAGUAUUCUAACAUCGAUGCAUUUCCCAAGGUGUGUUUUAUUUAGUCUUAAAUAACACAGCGUGCAGGGCACCCAUUCUAGUACAGCCUCCAGAACUACAAAGAGUCCUUUUCACAGCUCUCCUUCCUUCAUUCUAAUGUUAGGAUCGUGCCUGAACGUCCUCUCCUCAAGAGAAACAAAGGUUUACUGGCACAGGGUGCACUGGAUCCACUUCGAGAAAAGGCAUAUUGCUGCCACUCAAUCUCUGAAACAAUGAAAAGAAUACAACGAAAGAAGAAAAUCAACAAAAGCUUUGGCUCAACCACAGCACUUUGGUUUAUGCCUCUUUCGAGAAAGGAUUCUGGAAAACCUUUAAGAGGGGAAAGAAAAGGAGAAAUUGCCUUGUGCAUAGAGGAUUAUCUUUGAUGGUCUGAAAGAGGAGGUAAGUUGAUGAUUCUCACAUUAAUAGUUUUGUACCAUCACAUAUGCAAAAUGGGAGAAAUACUACCCACUCUCCAGGAUUGUUGGGAGGGUUAAAUGAGAUAAGUACAUAUAAUUGCACACACCCCACAGAUAUAUGGUGUCAUUAUUAUCUGUGCUGCAUAAGCAUUAUUUAGUGCCCUAAGUGCAACUUCUUUGAUCUUGUGCUCACAAAAGAUAAGUUUUAUCUUAAUAAGAAACAUGCAUCUACUUUCCUUUUAAAAAAUAAGUUGCUAAACAAAUAAAAAGCAAAUUGAUACCCUUAUAAAAAGGAGC
rnacentral:lncRNA from 1 species